rnacentral:lncRNA from 1 species
GGAGGGGGAGAUUGUUGAGUCCAGCCCAUCUGGAUGAGUCCAAGCCCACUUGGAUGAGUCCAAGUCCAGUAGCCAAGCCCAAGCCCGAUUGGAGUUCAUAUGGAGUGUCCAUGUGACGGUGAAACUCUCGAGUUAUCUAGAACUCUUGGAGAGUUUUUAUCUUUUUGUUUUCCUAGAUAGAUUAGGAUAAUGAUUAGGUAUUCUGGUAGGAGUCCAUCACCUUCUUCCCUUGGUCUAUAAAAGGGAUGGUAGGGUGCUUAGAUUUUCUACGUG